GAUUUUUUGAACUGCUGGCGACCGAGUUCUGGCGGUCCUGACGCGCACCUUGGGCUUGCUCGCGUUCGGUUUCGGCAGCAGGACCAAGAAGGCUUAGGGAAGGCGGCGGGACCCGGCCCCUCGAGGCCAGCCAUGGGCCCGCGUCGCAAACCGCAGACCCCAAGGAGGAGACCCUCCAGCCCGGCGCCUGGACCCUCGCGACAGAGCUCCAGUGUAGCACUAGAGAUGGAACCCAGGACUCCGUGUAUGUUAGGCAAGGGUUCUACUACAGAACUAUAUCCCCAACCCUCUCCCCGACCCUUUUUUUUUUAAGACGGGAACUCGAGGGCCAAGUCCACUGUAGCCCACCACCUCCUAUCUGGAUUUAAAGAUAGGGGAGCAGGCCGUAAGCAGCAUUCCUCCAAGGAUUCUGCCUCCAGAUUCCUGCCUUGAGCUCCUGCCCUGGCUUCUGCUGAUGGACGGCUCUCAGACACUGCGCAGAAGACAGAAAUUCAUGUGGCUUAAGGAAAUCAAGACCCUGCAGAAGAGCACAGACCUCUUGUUCAGGAAGAAGCCUUUCAGCAUGGUUGUUAGAGAAAUAUGUGAGAAGUUCAGCCGUGGUGUGGAUUUUUGGUGGCAAGCCCAGGCCUUGUUGGCCCUUCAGGAGCCACGUCAGUGUUCUCUUCUGCCCAGGCAGCAGAAGCUUUCCUCAUCCACCUCUUUGAGGACGCCUACCUCCUCUCCUUACAUGCUGGUCGGGUCACGCUUUUCCCCAAAGACAUUCAGUUGACCAGGAGAAUCCGAGGCUUCGAGGGCGGACUCCCCUAAGCUGCCAGUGGAAUGUACAUUACCUGGAAGCUUUUGGAGUUGCAGCUUGACAGUGGUGUCGGAGGAGCUGGCUGGGUUUUGCUGUUUUUAAAUACUGGCUACACGGUGCCCUUAAAACUGUCUCUGAAGGAGAAGACUGUGGCCUUCCCCCGACACAGAGGUCUGCCCACUCGCUCCCAUGGACUCGAGUGUUUGCAGACCAAAGGUCAAUUUGGUUUGUGAAUUGCUCAGCCCUAUGGCUGAAGGUUUCAGACACCCGAUACCUGCCAUGGUAUGGUUAUUUCACUCUUACUGCUCUGUUUGCAUCUUUUACUAUUAGUUUUUGUACUUUUAUUUAAAAUAUAAGGAAGAAAAACCUGAAUAAAGCGCUUGAAUCUGUUGUAUGUGAGCCGUGGCAGUCCCGCCAUAUAAAUGCCUGCCUUCCAGAGUGACCUCAUCCUGUCAUCCAUGUUUGUCUGUCAGUCAGCAAACAUGCAGCUCUUCUUUAAAACCUAAGUAGAAUUACAUACAAAAUCUUUUCUUCUCUUCAAGACUGGGGCUCGAAUUCAAAGAUUUGUACAUGCCAAGCAUGGACUAUAAUGCUGAACUACAUCCACAGCCUGAAGUAGAUGUCUUUCUGGUUCCUACCAGUGAAUUCCUAUCAAAAACGUCCAGAGUCUCUUAUCUUUAGCUCUAAAUCAUAUAAAAUGUCUCAUAUCAGUCUGGAAUUUUAAAAUGUGUUUUCAGAAUUUUUACAGAUUAAUUUUAGCUUAUUUGGGGAGAAAUAAUAAAAAAUAAAUAAAAAUAAAAAUAAUUCCUUAAUGAAA